AUCAAAUGUGACCCUGUGGGAGUGGGGGAAGACAUGAUGUCUACUCUGGCUUUGGCAACACCCAAAGGCAAUGAUCUUGGACUGUGGUCCAAUGGAAAUGAAGCAGAAUUUCAAGACAACCCUUUUCAGCCUUGGCAAUUGGAAAAAGAAAUGACCUGUAUAUUGAUGACCUUUCAUAGAUAAUUAUAAGGAAAAUGAUUAUAAUUACAGGUAUCAGGAAGAUGUGACGAUGCCUCCAUGUUCCAGAGACUGAUCUGCAGAACUGUCAGGUGUGCAGCUGAAGGAAAAGAUCACGCAUUUUAGAUGACACACAUGAAAGCAUAGCCAACCUGAGGUCAUCCACUUUGGAGACACUAACCGACUGCUUUGUUGAAAAUGUGCUAUAAAGCUACUGCCUGUCCGUAACUUCAAGCAUAUUUGGAAUCUGUGAGGUUGAAAGUGCAAGUCCCCCCUUUGCUUUGAUUAGCCUUGUCUUCCAAAGGUAAUCGCUUUCAGAGUUUGGUAUAUAUAUAUUUUUAGCUGUUUUGUGUGGCCUAUGAAAAGGAGCAUAUAUAUAUAUAUAUAUAUUUGUAUAUUUUUUCCAAAAUGGUAUUUAAAAAUGCAUACAUUUCUAUACCCUACUUUUCACCAUGUUUAACAAUGUAUUAUUGGAAUUUUGUGUUGUUACACAGAGGCCUGCCUCCUUCUUUUUCACGUCUUCGUAGUCUUUCGUUUUAACACAUGUUCCAAAAUACGUAAUUUAUUCCGUCUUGACAGAUAUUUAAAUAACGAACUGGCUAGUCUCUGUUUGCCUUUCUCACAGAUUAUGCUCUGUUCUUAACCUGAUGUUCUCUAUCCACGGAGGCUGACCCUUAACCACUGGUGGUGCUUAGCCAGUGGGUUUGGGUGUGUGGAAAAAAAUCAUGGUCUUAUUUUCCACUCCUUCCCUCUCUGAACUGCAUGUUCUGGAAGUGACUGAACUCUUCCAUAAAGAUCGUUCCCCAUGGAUGGCUCUUUUCGCCAAGCCUCUGCCCCUGUUCUGCUAACAUUACCUUCCUCUGCCUAAGGGUGAUGAUGGCUUCAUGCUGUUGCUAAUCUGCUGCCUCACCAUCCCUUGCUGUUCCCCCAAACCAGUCGUGGGCUAAGAAAUGUUUGGUGUUUGACAAUUUCUGUGGGUAUAAAUACUUCCACAACAACUGAUUUCAAGAUACCGACUUGAAAUUACUGAAUG
rnacentral:lncRNA from 12 species